rnacentral:lncRNA from 1 species
UUUUUUUUUGUUAAAAUGGAUGUAUCAUAUAUUACAGAUACAGAUAAAGUCAAAAAAAAUCGAAAAAUAACAGGUUUUGAAGUGCACCGGAUAACUCUCUCUCCUCUACCCAAAGAGUACCCUAAAAUGGUUGGCAACACAUGAGGCUAUCCAAUCCACGGCUCCAUUGGCCUCUCUAUACAUAUGCUUUACCUAUAAGGUCAUUCCACCACAGACUAUAGUUCAGAUGGUAGUCGCCCACAUCCUAAGCAUUGUAUUAAGGUUCAAAUAUUUCCCUACGAUCCAACUCCUGUGAUACUCUUAACU